GCUGCCCCGCGCCCCGUCCCAUCCGUCCCGGGACGCCGCGGUACCGCAUCCUCCCUCUCCCCGCAUCCCCCCGGCCCCGCGUCCACGCAGCAAAACGCUCCAGAAACGCAACAGUUUGUCCCGCGGGGGCUGCGACCCCCGGGAAUGUCCCGCGUGGGAACUCACCGCUCUUGGCUCCACAUCCCACGGGGGAGAGGAACUGUCGGCGAGGCGCUGGUCACAUCUUUUCCAACUCUUUUAAUUCCCCCUCUCCAGCCGGAGCCGGUGCUCGCCGCCCGCCUCCUCAGCCAUACUGGUGCGGUACUGGCGCGAUACUGGCGGCACUGGGCUCGCAGAACUUCUCAGCUGCGUUGCACUUCGAUUUGAGGCGCGUGUGGCCGCGCCGGGGAUGCGGCGCGCAAAGAACGCGACUGGCUGGGAGAGAGUUUAUUUUGUUUAUUUCUGCUCUUCCUUCCCCUCCCUCUCCCAGUUUAGCCCAGGAACUCCUGCAGCAUUGGUUAAUCCUCGAGGAGGGAGAACUGCUGAGAUCUUUAGCGAGCUCUCCCCUACCACGGAUACUUCCUAUAGCUCCAGCGUCUCUGUGAGGGAUGUACAGCUUACGAGAUGUGAAGAUCUUUCAGAUUCUUCUGACCAGGGGAACCUCGUGGGGUUGCUUCUGCUGUGUUCACCCACGGACAAGCUCAGCUGCUGCUUAAGUUCUCCGGAUGCACUGGAGGUGCUGAAGGUUGGGGUCAGCUCUAGCAAUGCCAACCCAACCCUGGUGUCCUGAUGUGUCCCCACCACAGGUUCAGUUCAUGGGAUUCAUUCCAGGGAAGUUUAUAAAUCUGAUGCCUAGAAAACUGGAAAAUACACAAAUUUUAGAAAGUAUUCCUGACUGGAAAGGACAAAAUGUCUCUGUGGGCUUUGUGAAGUCAGAAUGGAUGAAAUCAGGAGGCAGAGACAGGGAGAGCUGCUUGCUCCAGGCCUGAGCCCAGAGGAUUCCGCCCAAUCCAACAUCU